rnacentral:misc_RNA from 1 species
ACAAGACAAGAGCAUUGACUUGUAGCGUCAGUCGUGAUCUUUAUUUGCACGGCAAUUAGUCUAGUUUACACAAAUUAAUUAGGCGGGUUGGUUAUCGUGUUUGCUCAUGAAUAGAAUGUUGUUAUAACUUGAAUUCAAGGAAAAAGACCUAGCACCCCUGUGAAUUUUUCAGCAAAUAUCAUACAAAAACAGCAAAAAAGUACACACAUUUAAGGCUGACCAACAUGCAUUUGAAUUGUUGGCUUGUCGUCUGCUGCCUGUUGUUCACCGCGGACUCGCCUGCGCAAGGUUUUUUCAGCAUUGGCAUUGACCUAUCAAAGUGUGGCAUCUUUGGUGGAUUGUUUAGACAACCUGCUCCUCCACCUCCCCCUCCUCCUCCUCCCCCUCCCCCUCCUCCUCCUCCCCCGCCUCCACCACCAACAACCACAACUACAUCUACUACCACCACAACUACACCAACGACCACCACCACUUUACUUACGGCCGCUCAGCCUGCGGCCAGGGCCCUUCUACCUAUGGUGGACGGUUCUGCACAAAAUCCGAAUGGGAAUUUACUGUGGAAACCAAUGUUCGGUAAUAUAGCACCAUCCGCCUAUGGGUCGUGGCCAUUCGUCAAUCAGUACUACAUUCCACGAUACGUCCCAGGCCAGUUUAUUAAUAUGCCUGGGAAUAACUUUGUUGGAAUUAGGCCACCAACAUACGGCAUGGAACAGAACAAUCAAGGAGGUGGUAGUGGAAUCUAUGGCCCUUAUGGUUACAAUGGCCUGUACGGCACUUACCCAAAUGACCCUCGUUUGUAUGGAGCACCAAGCAUGUAUCCCCAAAGCGCCAACCCCGGGGGCAGUGGAACUUCAGUUGGACAACCUAAUUCAGGAGAUAACACCGCUUAUAAUUUCAAUGCCGGUCGAAGCAAAGCAACUGAAGUGCCACCCAGUGAAAACUCCUUGGGUUUGGGUUCACUUGCUGGUUUUAACAAACCAGUGACACCAAAUGAAGGGUUAGGAGAUCCUCUAGACAGUUUAAAAUAUCAAUCCAUCUUAGACGGAUGGAAUAAGAGACUCAACUACACUACGUUCGCUUUGUCUGAAGCAGGAGCAAGUGGACCAGGAAACCCAGAGAAUACUGCAGGAGCUUUGCGCUCCCUUGGAGAUGCUAUAGAACAGACUAAAACGAAAGAUAGUUUUGUCGCUCCCAACUUCAAACAAAAUCCGAAUUGGUACCAAAUGAAUUCAUUGGAUGGUAACGUUAGGGAUGAAAAAAUUCAGCCGGAAGUUAACUUGGCUCGGAGAACUGAAUCUUACGUAGUGCGUAAGAGCGGCAGCCAAAUCUAUACCGCCAUCCUCUAGACCUAGCUAGAGAGUCAAGCUGGAUCCAAUAAUUCAAGCUAAUUAUUAAUGAACAUUGUGCGCAACAGCUUGUUCUCAUAUGACGAAAACUUCUGGAUUUAUUUUCAGAUUAAUGAUCGUCUUUAAUUAAUUUUAAUUUUAAUGAUUAAUUUUUUCGUUCAAGGCUAAAAUUUUCGGGUGAUUGACUCAUGAAUAUUUAUGUGCAUUGGUGUUAAGUUGCCUCAUAUGCUUCUUUAAAAUCGAGAAAAAAAAUACAUUAAAAAUUGAUUUGCUAAAAUCAGUGAAAAAUAAGAUGUAUUUGUUUGUAUUGAUCAUAAGCAUAUUUGUACAAUAUGCUUAUGAGUGAAUAUGAGAUUUUAUUAAUGAACGACGAAAUAAAACCAAGAUGUUCAAUUUGUAAUAUGUGCAUUACUUGUAACCUUAGUUCAACUCGCGAGCAGUCCUGUGUAAUGUACCGACGAAUAGCAUUGACGACUCUUCGUGUACUGAAGACACGACGUAGUUUUGUGAGUGUGACGCCCGCAUCACUGGUAAGGGUAAGGUUAAUGACGAGUGGGGCGCGGGAAUACUUUAAUAAAAGUAAAAAAAUACUUCAUCUCUAGUGUAAACAGUUUUCUAUAAAGAUCAUUCGGAUAAUCGUUUCAACCUGGAAACAAAGAAGGGGGAAGAGUGCACGAGUUGAGGCGCACUGUAUAUAACACACCUGUGGUCAAGUCGUGAAGCUCAGUGUGGUGUUCUCGGAAUAAGAUGUUUAUGUUCGUAGCCGCAAGCAUUACAUCUGCCCAAAUUGCGUUUGUGGCGCUUUAAGAAGGAAACAGGGAGCUUACUACAUAUAAUUUCUGGUAAUUCAUUCCCAGUCACAAAUACCAACGCCUUAGCGAUGAUUGUAAUAAAUGCAAUGGUCAAUGCAAUUAGAGAAUGCAAAAAUAUUUUCUUAAUUAGGCAGUAAUACUACCGAUAAAGCUGCACUAUUUAGGUACGGUUGUGCGGAGUCAAGUUUUAACGUGUAUGAAAUCGUAAAUUGUUCUUAAUGGAGAAUAAUAAAUUAAGGAAAUUAAGGAACCACAUGUGUUCACAAAGAGAUAUCCUCUGACAUCUUUGUUUUAUUAGUCUCAUUGAAAUUAGGAGCUCCUGUAGAAUAGUGCAUAACCCAUAUAGCAAAUCAAAACAAUCGUCCAAGUUUGUCUUCGUUUAGCAUUUAUGUGUGAUUUCAUUAUUCUGAGUUCAUUACAAUUUAGAUUUUUGCGAGACGGUACAAACAUUGAGGUCGGAAUCUUGUGCUAGUCCACUUGAAGCCUCGCUAUCGAUAGGCGCGGCGAGAUGCAUGAGCGGCAAAUCGAUACGAUCUCAUCAUGCAAGGACCAGAAUUUUUUGAAGACAUUAAACCAGCUAUUUUAGUAAUGAUCGCGUUAACUGUUAAACCUUACUGAGAGAAAUCAACAGCAACGGGUAAACAUUAAUUUUACUAGGAACGUUUUAUUCAAGACGGGGAAUCGUGGAUCUGGAAAAAGAAAUAGGUUUCUAAGAGAAGUGUUGCAUUAUUUUACAGGCUAAUUAAAACAUGAAGUUGAUAGAGAUGAAUUUCAUAUUGCGUGUCUCGUAAUUUUGAAUGUCGACAUCACAGCAGCAUUAUUUUGGUCCGUCAUCCGAGAAGCAUCAGGUGUCGCUUAUCAGUACGUGCACUUUGUUAUCUUUCAGACGAGGUCAUGUGUACCAGAGCAAUUAUUUAGUAGGCGUUAUCAGCACUAACGUACAAGGAAAACAUUACAAAAAUUCCAAUUUACAUUUGGUUUAGUUACAGCUACAAACAAUAAUAAAUUGCGGCCUAAUUUGUAUUAAACAUAUGACAAUUGUGAAAACUUGCUAAUUUGAAAUUUCACCGCCUUCUCUGCUAGAGGAACUGAAAAAAGGAUAAAGCCUUGAACAUGAUCAAGAUAAGAUAAAAGGUAUUCUUGGUCAUUGCAUCAGAACUUACCGCGUGCAUAUUCGGUGUGAUCCAGAGAAGCUCUACAGUCUACACUUCUGUGAUGCGCUGGUGAUUGUGCACCAGUAGUUCCUAGGCUAUCGAAGUGUGUAUAUAGAGCCUUUCAUACUGUACUUGAUGCGUAUAAAAUUGUUAUCGAUAAAAUUUUAUCUUGACAUUCACCAUCAAGUUUUUCAUCACAUUUGUUGUACAAUCCAGUUAAAAUAAAAUAUUUAAAUGAAUUUUUAAGGAAGCCUGUGUAGAUUUUUGCCCAGUAUUUAUAAUGCGAUUUUAGAGAUCUUCCGAAGAAGCUUAAAAGCGUGAAAACAUAUAAAAACAACAUUUACUGUGCAUCGAGAAAUCAUUCUCAAUUUGGGCGACAGGGAGAGAAUAUUGAGGAAAACUUUUAUCUCAACCUUACUGAGCUUAAAAUUUAGAACUAAAAGCGAAAUGAGCGAUCAAAACGCGUGUUGUUGCAUUCACUACAGAACAGCUGGGAUCACCGCAUCCCUGCUCUCGCUUAUAGUCACACUUUGCUGUUUUCUGCAGUUGGGGAUAGAAGAAAACUGCACGAACGAUGCAUGGCGAAUCAUGCUGCUUGUGAUGACAAGUUUGUGCAUGCCGAACGCAACAUGCAUGCUCUACUAUGGAGUCAUGAAGGAUAAGCCACAUCUGCUCAAGUUCUACUUCGGUGUUGCCGUGAUGAUAGCAUUGCUGUAUUUGCUCGCGGCAGCUCUCACCCGCGAGGAUCAAACGUGCACAAUGAUAAUCUAUGGCCCCAUCAUCGCUGUCCUGCUGCUGGUGUCAGCAGGCAUCGUGUGGAGGUGCUUCUUCAUCAUGGUCAAAGUCACAUCGAAUACCAAUUCUGCACCAGAAUCUCCACCGGCAGUCCCUGAUUCGUCCGGUUCAUUGGGUGGAGAUAAAGUUGGAGACGAUCCCCCGUCUUACCGGGACGUUGUGUACCUCAGGUCGUUUAGUUCACCGCCAGAGAAGUCUUCCUCUGUCUUCACAGUGCCUAUGCCUCACGAGAGUUAUAUGCCUUAUUCCUACGGGAGUUUGAACACACUUCCCCCGGCCUACCACUUGGCCGUGUCUCAAAUGUCCAACGAAACAAAUACAUCUCCCCCGAGUGACGUCAUACUCCGUCCGUCAGACAUCACUCUUCCCUCGCAAGUUCCUGCCGGAAAUCUUACGACUCUCUUCAACAGUUCAGAGUCGCCGCAGUCUGCCAUACAUGUUCAAAACACAUAGCUUUAGCAUAUCGAUAUUCCUUGCUGUUUGACAGUGAUAUUAGUUAUGCAUUGGGAUGCAGGCUUGUUAAAAAAUUUUAUCUUUUGUUUAUCAUUAUAACUGUAAUAAGUUUGGUAUGGCCUAUUAAUUAAGAACUAAGACACAAUUUGUAUAUGGUUAAAAAUGUAUUGUUCCUAUUGUUGCACGUCCAUUGGCAUCUUCAUAAAAAGAAGCUGCAAAUUUAUGCUUAGAAAGUUCAACGCCACGGUUGCAUUGAUAUCAUAAUAAUAUAUAUAGAAGCCAAUGCUACUACUUAAACUUCAUGCCUCAUAUUAUCAUAUUGUCAUAUGUUAUCUCAUAUUUUUAUAAUAUUUGGUGUAGGAUAAUUCCAUCUGUCAAGCGCUUGCCGCCAACGAAUAUAAUUUUUUACUGCAUUAGACUGAGCGAGAUUUAAUUUCUCAUUCGAAUCUCAUUGUUGUAUUAGACUAAUUAGAGACUGUUAAAAUGUUAAUUCUGUCUAUGUCAGUAUGAGAAGGGAAAUUUUCUAUAUUAUUUUGUAAAAUUGUGAAAUUAGUAAAUAGAAUAUUAAUUGGAGAUGCCAUGACAAUGCUAUUUCAUGAGAGUGACUGCAACGUUUCAAGUAUAAUAUGUAUUUGCGAUAGAAAUAUUAAGAUUUAUAAUAUAUAAUUUCUCAAUUUUAAAUUUCUUUACAGUCCAGGGGCACCAAUUGAUUAGGUCACGUUUCAAGAGUUUCAAUUAGGUUCUGUGGGAAUUUUUCAUAACAAAUCAAAGGCAUGCGAGUCAAAAUGAAACAGAUUUCAACUGAAAUACAUUGCGAAGGAAGUAUCAUUACCUAACUUCAACAAAAUAUCCGCUAUCCGUGAUCCCAUGGGCCAUAUCAUGUACGUUGUACGUUUACCGUACAGCGUCACCACGUGGCUGUGCUACGAAACGGCCGUAGGCUGCCCGUACGCACGACAAUACCACAGACUAUAAGCACGACCGACAUAUGUUGAAUUGUUGAUUAUCCUUUAACAGCAGCCGGCAGUCUUCGCCGCAUCGUUGUCAUUGUAUUCUCACUUCAACAGCAAUCGCAUGUUCAUCAAUUUCAUUCGUAGUUCUCUUUUCAUUGGCUUCUCCAAACGUCCCAAACUCGCCUCAUUGUCCUCAGCUCCAGACAAUAACACUGAGCCAACUCGUUUAUCACAAAUUUGUCGAUGGCCCUAAUACAGUAAAUGGCUGUCUUCAGGUCUCCGAUAGGCUUCUAAUUUCAGCAGAAACGGUACUUCUAACAAUAACUUUUUUUGGUUUUCUCGGCACUUGCUUCUAGGAAAAUACCUUGCUGUAGAUUGUCCUCAGGGCUACUUCAAUACGACGCUUGACGCCAAGAUCGGAGCAAUUUUAUACCCCGUCCCUGUCUACUGUAUAGUGCAGCCUACUGCCUAAAGAAGACGCCUCAAUGUUAAAUAUCCCUCUAUCUCUUGGCUAUAUUACAGUACACAAUUAUUAUGCAGAUACAAAACUUGACGCUUGUUGAUUUAUUGCGUGAUAUGUUGCAUUGUUGUGAGUGGAUGUUUUUCUACUUCACCUAACAACUAUAAUUAAUUUUGAGCAUUCACUGCCCUAGCUAGUACGAGUAAACACUUGGGUAAUUUAAGCCAUAGAAGACUGGGCACUUUGUCUCAAAUUCUAUUCGUCCAGUGCCUUGUAAAGGAUGAAUGUAAAAUUAUAUACGAAAUGUUUUUGGGUUACCGAUUUUCUCUUGACUCGACGUGUUAUUUGUGAGAAUGAAGAGAUCAGUGACGAAGCAUGCACUAGCGCCAUGUGUUGUCCCUCCUCCUAUAAAUGAUUUGACCCGCUGGGUUUGGUGAACCCGAUCACUGGAAGGGGAAGAAUCUGAUGAGAGAAGGUAAAGCUGACAUAGAAUGAUAGCUUACCAUGCAGAGGAGCUUCAUAUGACUUGGGUUCGUUGAUUGGCAAGAUUUGAGCCAGGUCUCGAAAUAUCAUUUUGAGCGCAGUGCUCUUGAUUCUAACAACGAUGUUCCUUCGAUCAUCUUUACAGAAGCAGGGAAGAUAAAUCCACGGAUUUAACAUGUACACCGUCUGCGGAAGUGGCAAUGGUAAGAUACCUAGAUUUGAUAAGGAUAGAAAUUCAUAAAAUUGGGAAUAUAUGUAGAACCGUUGAAGAUUUCAUAAGCCGACGGUUUGAAAACAAGCGGGUAUACGACGCCCCGCGCGGGUAGCGAAUGGGGCUAUAAAAGGAGGGAGGUAGUAGGAGAAGCAGCGCAGAGUGAAACGGCCAGCGUGCCGAGUA